GUAGGGAAUAUUGCGCAAUGGACGAAAGUCUGACGCAGCGACGCCGCGUGAGUGAUGAAGGCCUUAGGGUCGUAAAGCUCUGUUGAAUGGGAAGAAAAAAAUGACGGUACCAUUCGAGGAAGGACCGGCUAACUUCGUGCCAGCAGCCGCGGUAAUACGAGGGGUCCUAGCGUUGUUCGGAAUCAUUGGGCGUAAAGGGUGUGUAGGUGGCCAUGUAAGUCAGGUGUGAAAGCCCCGGGCUCAACCCGGGAAGUGCACUUGAUACUGCGUGGCUUGAGUACCGAAGAGGGUAGUGGAAUUCCAGGUGUAGUGGUGAAAUACGUAGAUAUCUGGAGGAACACCGGUGGCGAAGGCGGCUACCUGGUCGAGUACUGACACUGAUGCACGAAAGUGUGGGGAUCGAACAGGAUUAGAAACCCCUGUAGUCC
rnacentral:rRNA from 1 species